rnacentral:pre_miRNA from 14 species
AUCUAAACUGCUCCAUAACCCCUCAAGAAAUAGAAAUGAAAGAUCCCCGGAGUGGGGAGACCCUCACUCAAGUCUCGGGAUGACACCCCCCCCAGAACUCACACAAGACC